rnacentral:rRNA from 1 species
UACGGGGGGAGCAAGCGUUGUUCGGAUUUACUGGGCGUAAAGGGCGCGUAGGCGGCCAGCACAAGUCAGUUGUGAAAUCUCCGAGCUUAACUCGGAAAGGUCAACUGAUACUGUGCGGCUAGAGUGCGGAAGGGGCAACUGGAAUUCUUGGUGUAGCGGUGAAAUGCGCAGAUAUCAGGAGGAACACCGGUGGCGAAGGCGGGACUCUGGGCCGAUACUGACGCUGAGGAGCGAGAGCGUGGGGAGCGAACAGG